UCUCAACAAAGAGCUUGUCUGAUGCUUGCAGGUGUCGAUGGGGUUGCUCAACAAGACGAAUGGACCACUGAAGCCUCCUGACAAAUCUGUGUCCUGUGGCUUUUGGACAAACCAGUUCCUCCAGUGAAGUCAUUUGGAAUAUGAACAAUACCUUUAAGGAUCAACCGAACUCAUAGAACUGCAUGAAAGUCAUCCUGGCUAAUGUGGAGGAAAAGAUGGGUUUUCAUUAUAAAAUGGUGGCCAUUGGUGAUAUUCACACGGUGGUUUUUUUACAGCAUGUGAAGGAAAAAUGCAAAUUGCGUGUUCAGCUGAUGUUAAUCAGUCCCCUUGCUAAAACAUAGGGGUGAAGAUGUGGAGAUAAAAGCCUGAUGAUGUAGAAGUAUGUGUCGUAUUACUGGCCAGCAUAGAGUGUUGGACAUCCACAUUUUCUUCAAAAACAACUUGAAAGCAGAAAAAAAAUUCCCAGGCCAGACUGUCUCUUCGGGUUCAGUAUCAGAGUAAUACUGCUGAGUGGAAUGCAGAGAUUGUGUAUGGGAAUGAAGGAGUUCCGAUGCCCCCCAACCCAGGUCCUGGUGUGGUCGAAGCAGGAGUACCCAGAUGGUCUCCCUCUGGCACAAGAGAAUCAGGAACACAGCUGCAUUUAACAGAGCAUUCAAGGGUCAGUUUGACAUUAUUAUCUCUGAAAAAGAGACAAUUUUUAGACAUUUUAACAGCAUUAAAGGCUUGUUUGGCCAUUUCAUAGCAUCCUCAUGUGACCAGACAGACCUGGAUGUGUCUGAUUCUGUGAUGAACCAGUUUAAAGUACACUGUAACAUGUAUGUACUUCUUGACAUAACAGUCUGUGCAUAUCUGAUUUUCUUAAGGUCCGUGAAAGUAUCUGUACACUCAAUACACUAAAUAGAAUAGAAUAUAAAUGUCAUAGAUGCAUGACAACCUAAUGAUCACACCUGUGAGUUACAAUAUUGUCCAAAUAUACACUACCAGUCAAAAGUUUG
ensembl:lncRNA